UACAGAGGUCCCAAGCGUUGUUCGGAUUCACUGGGCGUAAAGGGUGCGUAGGCGGUCGGGUAAGUCUGAUGUGAAAUCUCACAGCUUAACUGUGAAACUGCAUUGGAUACUAUCCGGCUCGAGGAAUGGAGGGGAGACUGGAAUACUUGGUGUAGCAGUGAAAUGCGUAGAUAUCAAGUGGAACACCAGUGGCGAAGGCGAGUCUCUGGACAUUUCCUGACGCUGAGGCACGAAAGCCAGGGGAGCAAACGGGA
rnacentral:rRNA from 1 species